rnacentral:rRNA from 1 species
AACACGUGAGCAACCUGCCCCUGACUCUGGGAUAAGCGCUGGAAACGGCGUCUAAUACUGGAUAUGUCCCGUCACCGCAUGGUGUGCGGGUGGAAAGAUUUUUCGGUUGGGGAUGGGCUCGCGGCCUAUCAGCUUGUUGGUGAGGUAAUGGCUCACCAAGGCGUCGACGGGUAGCCGGCCUGAGAGGGUGACCGGCCACACUGGGACUGAGACACGGCCCAGACUCCUACGGGAGGCAGCAGUGGGGAAUAUUGCACAAUGGGCGGAAGCCUGAUGCAGCAACGCCGCGUGAGGGAUGACGGCCUUCGGGUUGUAAACCUCUUUUAGCAGGGAAGAAGCGAAAGUGACGGUACCUGCAGAAAAAGCACCGGCUAACUACGUGCCAGCAGCCGCGGUAAUACGUAGGGUGCAAGCGUUAUCCGGAAUUAUUGGGCGUAAAGAGCUCGUAGGCGGUCUGUCGCGUCUGCUGUGAAAUCCCGAGGCUCAACCUCGGGCUUGCAGUGGGUACGGGCAGACUAGAGUGCGGUAGGGGAGAUUGGAAUUCCUGGUGUAGCGGUGGAAUGCGCAGAUAUCAGGAGGAACACCGAUGGCGAAGGCAGAUCUCUGGGCCGUAACUGACGCUGAGGAGCGAAAGGGUGGGGAGCAAACAGGCUUAGAUACCCUGGUAG